GAGGAAUAUUGAGCAAUGGGCGCAAGCCUGACUUCAGCAACGCCGCGUGGACGAUGACGGCCUUCGGGUUGUAAAGUCCUUUUCUGAGGGACGAUGAUGACGGUACCUCAGGAACAAGUCCCGGCUAACUACGUGCCAGCAGCCGCGGUAAAACGUAGGGGGCGAGCGUUAUCCGGAUUUACUGGGCGUAAAGCGCAUGUAGGCGGUUUGGAAAGUUGGACGUGAAAGCUCCUGGCUUAACUGGGAGAGGUCGUUUCGAUACUACCAGACUGGAGGUUGGAAGAGGAGAGUUGGAAUUCCCGGUGUAGUGGUGGAAUGCGUAGAUAUCGGGAGGAACACCAGUGGCGAAAGCGGCUCUCUGGACCAAUUCUGACGCUGAGAUGCGAAAGCGUGGGGAGCAAACGGGAUUAGAUACCCCGGUAGUCCACGCUGUAAACGAUGGAGACUAGGUGUCGGCGGUCAUUUACCCCGUCGGUGCCGCAGCUAACGCGUUAAGUCUCCCGCCUGGGGACUACGGCCGCAAGGUUA
rnacentral:rRNA from 1 species